GAUGAACGCUGGCGGCGUGCCUAAUACAUGCGAGUCGAGCGAACAGACGAGGAGCUUGCUCCUCUGACGUUAGCGGCGGACGGGUGAGUAACACGUGGAUAACCUACCUAUAAGACUGGGAUAACUUCGGGAAACCGGAGCUAAUACCGGAUAAUAUAUUGAACCGCAUGGUUCAAUAGUGAAAGACGGUUUUGCUGUCACUUAUAGAUGGAUCCGCGCCGCAUUAGCUAGUUGGUAAGGUAACGGCUUACCAAGGCAACGAUGCGUAGCCGACCUGAGAGGGUGAUCGGCCACCCUGAACCUGAGACACGGUCCAGACUCCUACGGGAGGCAGCAGUAGGGAAUCUUCCGCAAUGGGCGAAAGCCUGACGGAGCAACGCCGCGUGAGUGAUGAAGGUCUUCGGAUCGUAAAACUCUGUUAUUAGGGAAGAACAAAUGUGUAAGUAACUAUGCACGUCUUGACGGUACCUAAGCAGAAAGCCACGGCUAACUACGU
rnacentral:rRNA from 1 species